AUUCUUGUGGAUUCGCCACAUAUCCUAUGGAUACCUAGCAUGGAACUACUGCCACAGAUACUUUCCUUAGACUCUCUAUAUGAUCCCUUAUUCAUACUUAUACUUACAUCUUUCACUUAUCAUUCACGUCACUUCUCAACAUCUUAUCAACGGUUUCUUGACCACCCUAACAUGCCUACGUUCUUAUCACUUCAACACGUACUAUUGUCUAAACAAGAUCAAUCACAUAUCACAUCACACAUACACACAAGAUCUAGAUAUGAUUAACAAAGGACUAAGUCCCAUUGGUUACUCAACAUGAGGCAAGUUCACAGCCAAGUCCUCACCUUAGCUUUUUGCAGAAGUAGAUCUGGAUCUAGAUUUGGGAAUCAGUCACUUCUCGAGAUCUGGUUUAAGUGUUGGAUUCACACAAGAGAGAGAUGGGUUUAGGAUCUGUCAUUUCCAAUGACUUAGAGCUAGAGAUCAUAGUCUUACCUUAGGGUUCAGAUCUCAGUUGCUUGCACGAAGCGGAAUCAAGGAGGCGGCGGCUAGGGGUUCGGUUGCGGAGGCUAGGGCUUCGCGGGCGGCUGGCGGCUGGCUUCGCCGGAGGCGGAGUGGCGGCGGCUUGAGGCGGCGGCGGCGGGGUUCUGCUCGGGCAGGGCUUCGCUUGCUGUCUCUCUUGUGGCUGAACCCUAGGGGGACUUCUCCUUUUAUAAGCAAUGGGAGGGGUUAUGUCUAGGAUUUCCUCUUCUUGGGCCUCCUGCACUUGAGUUUCUUUUUGGGCCUGGCCCGGGAUGUUACAAUUUCCCUUCGCCAUAACCUAAUAAGCAGUGGUUUGUAAGUUUGAUUUCAAAGCUGCAAAGCUCGAAUCAAUAGAGCUUUGUAGAAGUGUCAAGGAUAGAUUAUAAAGAUUCUUCUUUCUUCAACUCUUUUGUCUUUAUAUGUUGUGUGUUCUUCCUGAAUCGGGCAGAUAUGCACUUGUUCUUCUUCUUGUCUUCGCCACCGGCAAAUAGCGUAAAUCGCGAGACAGACAUUCUCCCGCGAAGAAAGAGAGCCAAGAAGACCACUAAAGCACUAAGUGGUAUGAAGAUUUGAGAUUGUUCUAAUGGCGUCUAGGGAAGGAAAGAGGCGUACUCAUCAACAUCAUGAGAAUCUUGUGCCUGUUGCUGCUCUGUUAAGCAGAGAGACGAGAGCUGCUAAGAUGGAGAAACCGGUUGUUAGAUACGGGAAGCUGUUCAAUCUAGGAAAGGCGAAGAUUAUCUUUUGAUCAAGACUGAUACUCCAUAUCGAGUUUGUUUAAGAUGGAUAUGAGUCCUUCUUUGUAUCAGACUGAGUGGUGAGUAAACUCGAGUUCUUAUCACUAAUUUAUCAAUUUAAAGUUUUGUUCUUAAUUA